AUACGUAGGGGGCGAGCGUUGUCCGGAAUUACUGGGCGUAAAGGGUGCGUAGGCGGAAUGUCAAGUCAGAUGUGAAAUACCCGGGCUUAACCCGGGGGCUGCAUUUGAAACUGACAUCCUUGAGUGCAGGAGAGGCAAGUGGAAUUCCUAGUGUAGCGGUGAAAUGCGUAGAUAUUAGGAGGAACACCGGUGGCGAAGGCGACUUGCUGGACUGUAACUGACGCUAAGGCACGAAAGCGUGGGGAGCAAACAGGAUUAGAUCCCCUGGUAGUCCACGCCGUAAACGAUGGAUACUAGGUGUGGGGUCCGAUAGGAUUCCGUGCCGCAGCAAACGCAAUAAGUAUCCCGCCUGGGGAGUACGAUCGCAAGGUUGAAACUCAAAGGAAUUGACGGGG
rnacentral:rRNA from 1 species